GUACACAAAAAUGCACAUAUUGUGAGCUCGAUGAGUAGGGCGGGACACGUGGUAUCCUGUCUGAAUAUGGGGGGACCAUCCUCCAAGGCUAAAUACUCCUGACUGACCGAUAGUGAACCAGUACCGUGAGGGAAAGGCGAAAAGAACCCCGGCGAGGGGAGUGAAAAAGAACCUGAAACCGUGUACGUACAAGCAGUGGGAGCCUCUUAAUGGGGUGACUGCGUACCUUUUGUAUAAUGGGUCAGCGACUUAUAUUCUGUAGCAAGGUUAACCGAAUAGGGGAGCCGAAGGGAAACCGAGUCUUAACUGGGCGUUAAGUUGCAGGGUAUAGACCCGAAACCCGGUGAUCUAGCCAUGGGCAGGUUGAAGGUUGGGUAACACUAACUGGAGGACCGAACCGACUAAUGUUGAAAAAUUAGCGGAUGACUUGUGGCUGGGGGUGAAAGGCCAAUCAAACCGGGAGAUAGCUGGUUCUCCCCGAAAGCUAUUUAGGUAGCGCCUCGUGAAUUCAUCUCCGGGGGUAGAGCACUGUUUCGGCAAGGGGGUCAUCCCGACUUACCAACCCGAUGCAAACUGCGAAUACCGGAGAAUGUUAUCACGGGAGACACACGGCGGGUGCUAACGUCCGUCGUGAAGAGGGAAACAACCCAGACCGCCAGCUAAGGUCCCAAAGUCAUGGUUAAGUGGGAAACGAUGUGGGAAGGCCCAGACAGCCAGGAUGUUGGCUUAGAAGCAGCCAUCAUUUAAAGAAAGCGUAAUAGCUCACUGGUCGAGUCGGCCUGCGCGGAAGAUGUAACGGGGCUAAACCAUGCACCGAAGCUGCGGCAGCGACACUAUGUGUUGUUGGGUAGGGGAGCGUUCUGUAAGCCUGUGAAGGUGGCCUGUGAGGGUUGCUGGAGGUAUCAGAAGUGCGAAUGCUGACAUAAGUAACGAUAAAGCGGGUGAAAAGCCCGCUCGCCGGAAGACCAAGGGUUCCUGUCCAACGUUAAUCGGGGCAGGGUGAGUCGACCCCUAAGGCGAGGCCGAAAGGCGUAGUCGAUGGGAAACAGGUUAAUAUUCCUGUACUUGGUGUUACUGCGAAGGGGGGACGGAGAAGGCUAUGUUGGCCGGGCGACGGUUGUCCCGGUUUAAGCGUGUAGGCUGGUUUUCCAGGCAAAUCCGGAAAACCAAGGCUGAGGCGUGAUGACGAGGCACUACGGUGCUGAAGCGACAAAUGCCCUGCUUCCAGGAAAAGCCUCUAAGCAUCAGGUAACAUCAAAUCGUACCCCAAACCGACACAGGUGGUCAGGUAGAGAAUACCAAGGCGCUUGAGAGAACUCGGGUGAAGGAACUAGGCAAAAUGGUGCCGUAACUUCGGGAGAAGGCACGCUGAUAUGUAGGUGAAGCGACUUGCUCGUGGAGCUGAAAUCAGUCGAAGAUACCAGCUGGCUGCAACUGUUUAUUAAAAACACAGCACUGUGCAAACACGAAAGUGGACGUAUACGGUGUGACGCCUGCCCGGUGCCGGAAGGUUAAUUGAUGGGGUUAGCGGUAACGCGAAGCUCUUGAUCGAAGCCCCGGUAAACGGCGGCCGUAACUAUAACGGUCCUAAGGUAGCGAAAUUCCUUGUCGGGUAAGUUCCGACCUGCACGAAUGGCGUAAUGAUGGCCAGGCUGUCUCCACCCGAGACUCAGUGAAAUUGAACUCGCUGUGAAGAUGCAGUGUACCCGCGGCAAGACGGAAAGACCCCGUGAACCUUUACUAUAGCUUGACACUGAACAUUGAGCCUUGAUGUGUAGGAUAGGUGGGAGGCUUUGAAGUGUGGACGCCAGUCUGCAUGGAGCCGACCUUGAAAUACCACCCUUUAAUGUUUGAUGUUCUAACGUUGGCCCGUAAUCCGGGUUGCGGACAGUGUCUGGUGGGUAGUUUGACUGGGGCGGUCUCCUCCUAAAGAGUAACGGAGGAGCACGAAGGUUGGCUAAUCCUGGUCGGACAUCAGGAGGUUAGUGCAAUGGCAUAAGCCAGCUUGACUGCGAGCGUGACGGCGCGAGCAGGUGCGAAAGCAGGUCAUAGUGAUCCGGUGGUUCUGAAUGGAAGGGCCAUCGCUCAACGGAUAAAAGGUACUCCGGGGAUAACAGGCUGAUACCGCCCAAGAGUUCAUAUCGACGGCGGUGUUUGGCACCUCGAUGUCGGCUCAUCACAUCCUGGGGCUGAAGUAGGUCCCAAGGGUAUGGCUGUUCGCCAUUUAAAGUGGUACGCGAGCUGGGUUUAGAACGUCGUGAGACAGUUCGGUCCCUAUCUGCCGUGGGCGCUGGAGAACUGAGGGGGGCUGCUCCUAGUACGAGAGGACCGGAGUGGACGCAUCACUGGUGUUCGGGUUGUCAUGCCAAUGGCACUGCCCGGUAGCUAAAUGCGGAAGAGAUAAGUGCUGAAAGCAUCUAAGCACGAAACUUGCCCCGAGAUGAGUUCUCCCUGACUCCUUGAGAGUCCUGAAGGAACGUUGAAGACGACGACGUUGAUAGGCCGGGUGUGUAAGCGCAGCGAUGCGUUGAGCUAACCGGUACUAAUGAACCGUGAGGCUUAACCUU
rnacentral:rRNA from 1 species